rnacentral:rRNA from 1 species
CCUACGGGUGGCAGCAGUGAGGAAUCUUGCGCAAUGGACGCAAGUCUGACCCAGCCACGCCGCGUGCAGGAAGGCGGCUCUAUGAGUUGUAAACAGCUUUUGUACGAGGGGAAACGAAGAUGCGCGUAUCUUUCUGAAAGUAUGGUCCGAGUAAGGAUCGGCCACCUACGUACCAGCGGCCGCGGUAAUACGGAGGAUCCGAGCGUUAUCCGGAUGUAUUGGGUUUGAAGGGUGCGUAGGCGGCUUUGUAAGUCAGCGGUGAAAGUCUGUGGCUCAACCUGAGCAUUGCCGUUGAUACAGGGAGGCUUGAGUAUGGUUGAGGAAGGCGGAAUUCGUGGUGUAGCGGUGAAAUGCUUAGAUAUCAGGAGGAACACCGAUGGCGAAGGCGGCCUGC